GGUCUCCCAGUUCUGCCCCAGGCUCUUUUCCAGGACAGAAGCCUCUCUGGACAGCCUUCUUUCUCUUCUCAGGCAAUUCCUUCUCCUUGGGUUUGUUUUGGAGCCUGAGUGGGGAGCGUGUCUACCUGAGUCGCCUUGGGCACGCUCUCUCCUGUCUUCACAUGUGAUGUAGGAACAGUGAAAGACCUUAGCUCAUGGGAAGGCUGGGAAAAUCCGAGCAUCAAACAUGAUGACAGCGAUAACCACCAGGAUGGUGAUGACGACAACAACGAUGACGGUGGUGAUGAUGAUGACGACGAUGACGAUGACGACGACGAUGACGAUGAUGGUAGUGGUGCUGGCAACAACCCUUUUCAAAUGACCCUUGGACCAGCUCUGACCAAGCCUGGGUUGUGCUGUCAUCCUUCCUGCCCACCUGCAGGAGGCAUAGUGGAUCAUGGGAAGGUGUUUGGCUGGAACUGAGGCAAUGGAAGCUUUUUUUUUCCCUUUCUUUACACCGGAGGAGCUGGAGAGUUCAAAUACGUUGUAAAAAAUUAAAACAUCGAUUCUUUUAGUAAUUAGAACUAAUUACAAACGAAUCCCCCACA
rnacentral:lncRNA from 1 species